CCACAACACGGAGGACCGCGGCUCCUAAUAUAACCUUCCCACAGUGCCUCUAAAUGACAUGUGGACUUUGGGUGAACUGGAUCUGGGUCGUCCACAACACGGAGGACCGCGGCUCCUAAUAUAACCUUCCCACAGUGCCUCUAAAUGACAUGUGGACUUUGGGUGAACUGGAUCUGGGUCGUCCACAACACGGAGGACCGCGGCUCCUAAUAUAACCUUCCCACAGUGCCUCUAAAUGACAUGUGGACUUUGGGUGAACUGGAUCUGGGUCGUCCACAACACGGAGGACCGCGGCUCCUAAUAUAACCUUCCCACAGUGCCUCUA